rnacentral:rRNA from 1 species
GACGAACGCUGGCGGCGUGCUUAACACAUGCAAGUCGAACGGAAAGGCCCUGCUUUUGUGGGGUGCUCGAGUGGCGAACGGGUGAGUAACACGUGAGUAACCUGCCCUUGACUUUGGGAUAACUUCAGGAAACUGGGGCUAAUACCGGAUAGGAGCUCCUGCUGCAUGGUGGGGGUUGGAAAGUUUCGGCGGUUGGGGAUGGGCUCGCGGCUUAUCAGCUUGUUGGUGGGGUAGUGGCUUACCAAGGCUUUGACGGGUAGCCGGCCUGAGAGGGUGACCGGCCACAUUGGGACUGAGAUACGGCCCAGACUCCUACGGGAGGCAGCAGUGGGGAAUAUUGCACAAUGGGCGGAAGCCUGAUGCAGCAACGCCGCGUGCGGGAUGACGGCCUUCGGGGUGUAAACCGCUUUCGCCUGUGACGAAGCGUGAGUGACGGUAAUGGGUAAAGAAGCACCGGCUAACUACGUG